rnacentral:rRNA from 1 species
UACGAAGGGGGCUAGCGUUGCUCGGAAUGGCUGGGCGUAAAGGGCGCGUAGGCGGCUUGCACAGUCAGGCGUGAAAUUCCUGGGCUCAACCUGGGGACUGCGCUUGAGACGUGUGGGCUUGAGUGGGGAAGAGGGUCGUGGAAUUCCCAGUGUAGAGGUGAAAUUCGUAGAUAUUGGGAAGAACACCGGUGGCGAAGGCGGCGACCUGGUCCGUGACUGACGCUGAGGCGCGAAAGCGUGGGGAGCAAACAGG